CCCUCUCAUUCUGAGAGGAGACUCGAACUCAGCAGUGAGCCGUAUAUGGGUUGGUAACGACGAUUGCAUAACACAUCAACCAAUUUAUCUAAACAGCCAUUAGUAAACACCACAGAUAUAAGAGGGCACCGACAUAACCGAGGCAUUUGAAAGUCACCAUAUCAGACCGAUCGCAGAAAAAAUGUUACCACAAUUUUAUGUUCGAGAUGCAAAAACUCCGAGAAAUUCCCCAUUCACUUUCAAAGAAGAUGGUUUCUAUCGCACUCUAAAGACACUUGUGAAUGAAGAAAUAAAGAAAGUACCAAAAGAUAAGCUGAAGAACACAGAUAUGGUGACAGAUGGACUGUUUGUGACACUAGUCGUAGCAUCGACCUUGUCAUGCUGGACUACUAACUAUUGGCUCGCAGUAGGAUCUUUUAUUGUUGCAUCUGUUUCACUGGCCUGGCUAACAGUAGCUGCUCAUAACUAUAUACAUAGAAGGACUAAUUGGAGGAUGUACUAUUUCAAUUUAAGUUUAUGGUCUUUCAGGUAAU
rnacentral:misc_RNA from 1 species